rnacentral:rRNA from 1 species
GACGAACGCUGGCGGCGUGCUUAACACAUGCAAGUCGAACGGAAAGGCACUGCUUUUGUGGGGUGCUCGAGUGGCGACCGGGUGAGUAACACGUGAGUAACCUGCUCUUGACUUUGGGAUAACUUCAGGAAAAUGGGGCUACUACCGGCUAGGAGCUCCUGCUGCAUGGUGGGGGUUGGAAAGUUUCGGCGGUUGUGGAUGGACUCGCGGCUUAUCAGCUUGUUGGUGGGGUAGUGACUUACAAAGGCUUUGACGGGUAGCCGGCCUGAGAGGGUGACCGGCCACAUUGGGACUGAGAUACGGCCCAGACUCCUACGGGAGACAGCAGUGGGGAAUAUUGCACAAUGGGCGGAAGCCUGAUGCAGCAACGCCGCGGUCGGGAUGACGGCUUGCGUGUUGUAAACCGCUUUCGCCUGUGACGAAGCGUGAUUGACGGUAAUGGGUAAAGAAGCACCGGCUAACUACGUG